ACGGAAGGCAGCAGUGGGGAAUAUUGGGCAAUGGGCGAAAGCCUGACCCAGCAACGCCGCGUGAAGGAAGAAGGUUUUCGGAUUGUAAACUUCUUUUAUCAGGGACGAAGGAAGUGACGGUACCUGAUGAAUAAGCCACGGCUAACUACGUGCCAGCAGCCGCGGUAAUACGUAGGUGACAAGCGUUAUCCGGAUUUACUGGGUGUAAAGGGCGCGUAGGCGGGGAUGCAAGUCAGAUGUGAAAUCCAUGGGCUUAACCCACGAACUGCAUUUGAAACUGUAUCUCUUGAGUGUCGGAGAGGUAGACGGAAUUCCUAGUGUAGCGGUGAAAUGCGUAGAUAUUAGGAGGAACACCAGUGGCGAAGGCGGCUUGCUGGACGACAACUGACGCUGAGGCGCGAAAGCGUGGGGAGCAAACAGGAUUAGAUACCCUGGUA
rnacentral:rRNA from 1 species